GGGGUAAUAGAGAUUAGAUCUUUCUUUUUUCUAUUCAAUUGGGUCCUCUUAUAAUGUGUAGAGAUGUCAUUAUAACUAUAUCUCAUAAAGAUGAAUGCAAAAAGAAAACUUUACUUUUCUAUGAAAUCCUAGGAUUGUGUAUGUGAUAUAUUAUAUGAAAAGUAGUUGCAUCUAAUCAUUAUAAAUAAAAUCUAAAAUCA
rnacentral:lncRNA from 1 species